rnacentral:rRNA from 1 species
GGUUAAGCGACUAAGCGUACACGGUGGAUGCCCUGGCAGUCAGAGGCGAUGAAGGGCGUGCUAAUCUGCGAUAAGCGCCGGUAAGGUGAUAUGAACCGUUAUAACCGGCGAUACCCGAAUGGGGAAACCCAGUGUGACUCGUCACACUAUCAUUAACUGAAUCCAUAGGUUAAUGAGGCGAACCGGGGGAACUGAAACAUCUAAGUACCCCGAGGAAAAGAAAUCAACCGAGAUUCCCCCAGUAGCGGCGAGCGAACGGGGAGGAGCCCAGAGCCUGAAUCAGCAUGUGUGUUAGUGGAAGCGUCUGGAAAGGCGCGCGAUACAGGGUGACAGCCCCGUACACAAAAGCGCAUGUGCUGUGAGCUCGAUGAGUAGGGCGGGACACGUGGUAUCCUGUCUGAAUAUGGGGGGACCAUCCUCCAAGGCUAAAUACUCCUGACUGACCGAUAGUGAACCAGUACCGUGAGGGAAAGGCGAAAAGAACCCCGGCGAGGGGAGUGAAAAAGAACCUGAAACCGUGUACGUACAAGCAGUGGGAGCACAGGUUUACCUGUGUGACUGCGUACCUUUUGUAUAAUGGGUCAGCGACUUAUAUUCUGUAGCAAGGUUAACCGAAUAGGGGAGCCGGAGGGAAACCGAGUCUUAAUUGGGCGUUAAGUUGCAGGGUAUAGACCCGAAACCCGGUGAUCUAGCCAUGGGCAGGUUGAAGGUUGGGUAACACUAACUGGAGGACCGAACCGACUAAUGUUGAAAAAUUAGCGGAUGACCUGUGGCUGGGGGUGAAAGGCCAAUCAAACCGGGAGAUAGCUGGUUCUCCCCGAAAGCUAUUUAGGUAGCGCCUCGUGAACUCAUCUCCGGGGGUAGAGCACUGUUUCGGCUAGGGGGUCAUCCCGACUUACCAACCCGAUGCAAACUGCGAAUACCGGAGAAUGUUAUCACGGGAGACACACGGCGGGUGCUAACGUCCGUCGUGAAGAGGGAAACAACCCAGACCGCCAGCUAAGGUCCCAAAGUCAUGGUUAAGUGGGAAACGAUGUGGGAAGGCCCAGACAGCCAGGAUGUUGGCUUAGAAGCAGCCAUCAUUUAAAGAAAGCGUAAUAGCUCACUGGUCGAGUCGGCCUGCGCGGAAGAUGUAACGGGGCUAAACCAUGCACCGAAGCUGCGGCAGCGACACUGUGUGU